GAUAGCGACCGGCGCACGGGUGAGUAACACGUAUCCAACCUGCCGAUGACUCGGGGAUAGCCUUUCGAAAGAAAGAUUAAUACCCGAUGGCAUAGUUCUUCCGCAUGGUGGAACUAUUAAAGAAUUUCGGUCAUCGAUGGGGAUGCGUUCCAUUAGGUUGUUGGCGGGGUAACGGCCCACCAAGCCUUCGAUGGAUAGGGGUUCUGAGAGGAAGGUCCCCCACAUUGGAACUGAGACACGGUCCAAACUCCUACGGGAGGCAGCAUG
rnacentral:rRNA from 1 species